GAUGAACACAGGAUCUCACUUAAUUCUCACAAGAACCUUGUCAGGUACUUCCUAGCAUCAUUUCCAUUCUGCGGAUGAGGUAGUUACGGCUUAGAAGGGUUAAAUAAUUGGCCCAAGGGUACCCUAUUGGUGAGGGGUAGGGCUGGUGUUCUAGUCAGUUCUGACUGACUUCAAGCCCAGACUCUAAGGCAAGACACUCAACUGCAUUUAGACAAUGCCAGUUUGGACAAAGGGUGGUCUUGCAUCUCCCUUUUUGUAGCAAUUCUCUCACAGAAGUAUUUUUAUAACUCUGAGAAAUCUUUAUAUACAUUUCUUUAUAUCCUUUAUAUUUUCUCUCCAGGUUAAGCCAGCACUUAACACCACAUGAAAUUGAAGUUCAUGGAAUUCAAAGACGAGGCCCAAGAGGCAGCAGCAAAGGUCAGCAUCUCCACCACCCCAUCAGGUCUUGCCCAUGUUGACCCAGGUGCUGGGACAGGAGGCACACACUGAACUUACUGCUCCCGUUGACUUCUCAUCUGGUUCCAGGCUUUGAAGAGGGUCAGAAGGAUGGAAGACUUGGCCCCUCCUCUCUAGUAGUGUACACCAUGCCUGAGGAGACCACAUAUCAACAUGGAACAGCCCCGGUUAGGGCACAAGGGCGCUGGGGCCUGGACAGUCAUGCCAUGGGAGCUCAGUGGGAGGCUGGACUUAGGCUGAGGUGCGUGGGGAGAGCUUCCUGGACAGCUGGGAUCUAAGGAUGCUUAAAUCAUGGACAGGAAAGCAGCUGCAGCCUAACGAAGAGCAGGGGUGUUAGGAGGCUUCCCUAAAGUUCUGUGACCCUGUAGAACUGUUGCCACUGCUAUGGUCACUGCUGCAACUACAAGCACUGCAUCUGGCAUGGGAGCUUGAUGGACCAGAGCACAUGCAAAGAGGGCAUCGGAAAUCCCAGAAGGGUAUGCGGGACCUUGUACCCUGUGGGAUUCCCAUGCUUACUUCAGGCAAACAGUAAGCCAGUAAGUGGAUGGCUGGCAGAGCUUCCCCCAGACUCUGAGGCUCUCAAACCCAUCUUUCGUGCAGAGAGAAUUGUGUGGUUAUCAUCCCCAGAACUCACCUGCUGAGUAAUUCGAUGCGAGUGAUUUGAUGUUCAGUCCCUCCUAGCAGGAGGCAGACCAGCAGGGAGUUACAGUUAACACUAACUGGGCAUGGCUAUUGAGGCAGGAGAGUAGGGUCUGGAGUCAGGCUGGUCACAGGCCAAGUCUUCAUUUGCAGAGGAGUAUAACUUUGUAAGUUCACUUCAGCCUCUGAUUGGUCACUUUCUGCAAUCAAUCAGACAUUUGCAUAGGGUGUAACUUUGUAUCUUCACUUCAGCCUCUGAUUAGUUGCUUUCUGCAAUCAAUCAGACUGAUCGUGGGCCACUAUUUCAUUUACAUAGGGUGUAAACCAAGUAACCAAUGGAAAACCUCUAGAGGGUAUUUAAACCCCAGAAAAUUCUGUAACCAAAGCUCUUGAGCUGCUUGCUCGAGCCCCCUCCCACUCUGUGUCGCGUACUUUUGUUUCAAUAAAUCUGUGCUUUUCUUUUGUUGCUUUGUUUGUGCUUUUUGUCCAAUUCUUUGUUCAAAAUGCAAAGAACCUAGACAGUUAUGACUUUUUGUUUUCAUUGUCCUUUUUCCAAAAUUGUAUCUGAGGGGAGACUUCCUGGGCUCUGUUAAGAUCAAGCACAUCUGCCUUCAGGGAUGAUGGGCUUGAGGCAAAUACUCAAAGCCACCUGAGGGUCCUCUUGUCCACUGUGUCUAUUCCAUCAAGGAGCACACAUUUGGAGCUGGGGAAGAGCAUGGUCCAUCUUGGUGUCAGAGAGGAGGCUACUGUCCUGGCUGAACCAGAGGGAUUGCCAAGAGAACAGGAAAAAUCGAGCCUAUGGCAUGAAAGGGCAGCUGUGGUGAACUGUUUGCGCAGACCAAUGUGUCAGUAGUGUCUACCUGGGUCAAAAGACACCUCUGGUCUUUCUUUAACCUGUCUCCUUGCCUUCAGGAUGCUACCUCUACCCAAAUGCUGCUGCCCCUGAUAUCUUCCUAAGAACAGAUCUAAUCAUGUCACCAUUCUGCCAGCACCCCGGGAAGGCUCAGGGUCACAUAUCAAAACAAGUUCAGGACUUCUAGCAUUAUGGCAGAUGGCCUUCCCAUGAAAAAAAAACAUAGAAAUGUUGGGUAAACGAUAACAACAAAAGUUUUUUUUAAUGUGUGCUGUCUUUAAACAAAAUAAAAGGAAAUCCUCACGUGGUAGAAAUGGAAGAGAGAAACCACAGCCAAAGCAGUAAGUAUAAGCUGGAAACCUAGAGCCCAUGGAAAUUGCAGAGGAGCCAAAUUUAGGCUCUAGAGACUGGGCUGAAAUUAAAGCACCUGUGUGAGAAUAGGACAUGUGGCCUUAGGCUUGCUUGGAGGAGAGAAAAUGGUUUUUUCAUUUGUUUGUUUUAAGACGGAGUCUCGCACUGUUGC
rnacentral:lncRNA from 1 species